ACGAACGCUGGCGGCAUGCCUAACACCUGCAAGUCGCACGAGACCUUCGGGUCUAGUGGCGCACGGGUGCGUAACGCGUGGGAACCUGCCUUUAGGUUCGGAAUAACUCAGAGAAAUUUGAGCUAAUACCGGAUGAUGUCUUCGGACCAAAGAUUUAUCGCCUUUAGAUGGGCCCGCGUUGGAUUAGCUAGUUGGUGGGGUAAAGGCCUACCAAGGCGACGAUCCAUAGCUGGUCUGAGAGGAUGAUCAGCCACACUGGGACUGAGACACGGCCCAGACUCCUACGGGAGGCAGCAGUGGGGAAUAUUGGACAAUGGGCGAAAGCCUGAUCCAGCAAUGCCGCGUGAGUGAUGAAGGCCUUAGGGUUGUAAAGCUCUUUUACCCGAGAUGAUAAUGACAGUAUCGGGAGAAUAAGCUCCGGCUAACUCCGUG
rnacentral:rRNA from 1 species